UUUUAUUUUUGCUUGAAUUUAAUCAUUUUGUUUGAUUAAAUUAGGGUUUUCUCUUAGGGUACGUUCUUAAUAUUCUUCUGGACUAAGAUCUAAUCCAUGCAGCUUUAUAUUUAUACUAGUUAUCUCUAUCCCAACUUUGCCUGGUGCAUGGUGUUUUUACAAAGGAAUUGGUAUUUCCAAUCUUUAGAAACAAGUUUUAAUUAAUCUGGCUAUAGCUAGUUGAUAAAAUUUAAUCUACAGAUUCUUCUUUUGGUUAAUUUGUUUGUACAAAUCGAGGAGCAGUCGUUGUUUGCAAAUGUGGCAUCAUCAAGAUUCACAUGCAACGUACAUAUAUAUUUAUAUAUAUUAUAUGGUUUUGGCCUGAGAAUCCUGAUGAUGCUGCAUUGGCAAUGAAUGGCUAGAUGGAGAACUUUGAUCGGCUUCUUCUCCUUUCCAUCCCAACAUGGUGGUUUCUUUCCCAAUAUUACCAAUAAAUUGAAAGGGUAUCUAUUGGCGGUAUAUAUACCAAUUGGAUCUAAAUCUAAUCCUUCCUAGAUGGAUGACUUGAAGCCUGGCAUCAUGAAGAUGGGAUUGAAAUCUCACUGGCCUUGGAGUUAGAAACAUCCAAGCCUGUAAUUAUCGGGAAUAAUAAAGUGAGAAGACUUUGCUCUCACUCACUCUAUAUAUCUGUAACUUACUGCAUAAUAUAAUGGUAAUUAUUUGAUUCAAGUUUUUUGCA
rnacentral:sRNA from 1 species